GGUGCUUUGGUUUUAAAAUCUUCUCAGUACAAGUGUCUCCAGGAGCUGGCCCCAUACCUGGCCCCAUCAUGACAAAAUAAUUCACCCCUUCCAAUCUACCCUUCCCCAGAUGAAAUUAAAAUGACUGGGCAUCCAGAUUAACGAGCGGAUCACAAGCAGGAGCAUACUGGCUGUGAACAGCCCUGGGCCAGGGCAGAGCAAGUAGCCCUGGAGCAGCUGACCAGUUCUAGGAGCUGAGAACAGAGUGACAGGACAUGGGGUGAAGGAUCUGAAAAUGCACGCACAGGCAGAUGACCCACCCAGACUGUUCACAACCACAGCAGCUCGGGACUCUCUGCUUGG